rnacentral:rRNA from 1 species
GAUGAACGCUGGCGGCGUGCCUAAUACAUGCAAGUCGAGCGAACAGGCGAGGAGCUUGCUCCUCUGACGUUAGCGGCGGACGGGUGAGUAACACGUGGAUAACCUACCUAUAAGACUGGGAUAACUUCGGGAAACCGGAGCUAAUACCGGAUAAUAUAUUGAACCGCAUGGUUCAAUAGUGAAAGACGGUUUUGCUGUCACUUAUAGAUGGAUCCGCGCCGCAUUAGCUAGUUGGUAAGGUAACAGCUUACCUAGGCAACGAUGCGUAGCCGACCUGAGAGGGUGAUCGGCCACACUGGAACUGAGACACGGUCCAGACUCCUACGGGAGGCAGCAGUAGGGAAUCUUCCGCAAUGGGCGAAAGCCUGACGGAGCAACGCCGCGUGAGUGAUGAAGGUCUUCGGAUCGUAAAACUCUGUUAUUAGGGAAGAACAAAUGUGUAAGUAACUAUGCACGUCUUGACGGUACCUAAUCAGAAAGCCACGGCUAACUACGUG